rnacentral:rRNA from 2 species
GGCGGCCUAACACAUGCAAGUCGAGCGGAUGAAGAGAGCUUGCUCUCUGAUUCAGCGGCGGACGGGUGAGUAAUGCCUAGGAAUCUGCCUGAUAGUGGGGGACAACGUUUCGAAAGGAACGCUAAUACCGCAUACGUCCUACGGGAGAAAGCAGGGGACCUUCGGGCCUUGCGCUAUCAGAUGAGCCUAGGUCGGAUUAGCUAGUUGGUGAGGUAACGGCUCACCAAGGCGACGAUCCGUAACUGGUCUGAGAGGAUGAUCAGUCACACUGGAACUGAGACACGGUCCAGACUCCUACGGGAGGCAGCAGUGGGGAAUAUUGGACAAUGGGCGAAAGCCUGAUCCAGCCAUGCCGCGUGUGUGAAGAAGGUCUUCGGAUUGUAAAGCACUUUAAGUUGGGAGGAAGGGCAUUAACCUAAUACGUUAGUGUUUUGACGUUACCGACAGAAUAAGCACCGGCUAACUUCGUGCCAGCAGCCGCGGUAAUACGAAGGGUGCAAGCGUUAAUCGGAAUUACUGGGCGUAAAGCGCGCGUAGGUGGUUUGUUAAGUUGAAUGUGAAAGCCCCGGGCUCAACCUGGGAACUGCAUCCAAAACUGGCAAGCUAGAGUAUGGCAGAGGGUGGUGGAAUUUCCUGUGUAGCGGUGAAAUGCGUAGAUAUAGGAAGGAACACCAGUGGCGAAGGCGACCACCUGGGCUAAUACUGACACUGAGGUGCGAAAGCGUGGGGAGCAAACAGGAUUAGAUACCCUGGGUAGUCCACGCCGUAAACGAUGUCGACUAGCCGUUGGGAUCCUUGAGAUCUUAUGGCGCAGCUAACGCAUUAAGUCACCGCCUGGGAGUACGGCCGCAAGGUUAAACUCAAAUGAGUUGACGGGGCCCGCACAAGCGUGGAGCAUGUGGUUUAUUUCGAGCAACGCGGAAGCCUUACCAGGG